rnacentral:rRNA from 1 species
GCUUGCUCUGUGGGAUCAGUGGCGAACGGGUGAGUAACACGUGAGCAACCUACCCCUGACUCUGGGAUAAGCGCUGGAAACGGCGUCUAAUACUGGAUACGAGUGGCGACCGCAUGGUCAGCUACUGGAAAGAUUUAUUGGUUGGGGAUGGGCUCGCGGCCUAUCAGCUUGUUGGUGAGGUAAUGGCUCACCAAGGCGUCGACGGGUAGCCGGCCUGAGAGGGUGACCGGCCACACUGGGACUGAGACACGGCCCAGACUCCUACGGGAGGCAGCAGUGGGGAAUAUUGCACAAUGGGCGCAAGCCUGAUGCAGCAACGCCGCGUGAGGGAUGACGGCCUUCGGGUUGUAAACCUCUUUUAGCAGGGAAGAAGCGAAAGUGACGGUACCUGCAGAAAAAGCGCCGGCUAACUACGUGCCAGCAGCCGCGGUAAUACGUAGGGCGCAAGCGUUAUCCGGAAUUAUUGGGCGUAAAGAGCUCGUAGGCGGUUUGUCGCGUCUGCUGUGAAAUCCGGAGGCUCAACCUCCGGCCUGCAGUGGGUACGGGCAGACUAGAGUGCGGUAGGGGAGAUUGGAAUUCCUGGUGUAGCGGUGGAAUGCGCAGAUAUCAGGAGGAACACCGAUGGCGAAGGCAGAUCUCUGGGCCGUAACUGACGCUGAGGAGCGAAAGGGUGGGGAGCAAACAGGCUUAGAUACCCUGGUAGUCCACCCCGUAAACGUUGGGAACUAGUUGUGGGGGUC